rnacentral:lncRNA from 1 species
UCUUAUUGAGAGUGUAACCUCUUGAAGCCUACUGGUGCAGGAGGGAUUUUGCAACCUUCCUUUGGCUUUUGUCACCUAUGGAAAACUACAAACCAGCUUGCCUAUCCGGUGAUUGGAACCAGGAGGAUUGCCGGCCUUGGGUCUGGAAAUCCUAUCCCAUGUGUCUUCCUUCCUCCCUCCCUCCCUUCCUUGGUUCCUUCCUUCCCCUGACUAGGCCCCAGAGGGGUGGGGAGGCCUUCCUGGGCCUGGCAUCAGGGCUCCUGGGCUCCCAGCCAAGUGUCCAGAGGUCACUCCUCCUGGCAUCUGGAUCCUUCUUAUCUUCCUGAGACAUAGGAGGCUCCUGCUCUGGAGAUGACUGAAGGGAAAACACCUGUAUUUCCAGGGCCUUGGAAAUAGCCUGCUCCAGCCGGCCUUCCCGGGAGAAACUGAGAAAGGACAUUGGUCCGAAGCAUUUCUCUUUCGGUUUGUGCUGCGCUGAGCCUGUCCUGUGAUGCGGCCCUCACCAACCAAGGACUGAACGAGAGGGACUCCAUGCGAACCUGCUCAGCAUACAGCAGGUGCCUCGUGGAUAUUCUUCCCUAAGGCUCCAGGCCAGCCAAGCACUGCAUUAACCAGGUUCGGAUGAACUUUAGAAUGUACGCAUCUGAGCUGUCAUAGUUUUUUGUUUUCUUGUUUUUUUGAGAUGGAGUUUCGCUCUUUCACCCAGGCUGGAGUGAAAUGCCGCGAUCUCAGCUCACUGCAACCUCUGCCUCCUGGGUUCAAGCCAUUCUCCUGCCUCAGCCUCCCAAGUAUCUGCGAUUACAGGCUCCUGCCACCAUGUCCAGCUAAUUUUUUGUAUUUUUAGUAGAGACAGGGUUUCACCAUGUU